GACCCCGUAGCUCAGUGGUAGAGCGUGAGAUUCCAGUUAAACUGGUGUUUCCUCAAGGUCAUCCGUUCAAUCCGGGUCGGGGUCA